rnacentral:misc_RNA from 1 species
CCGAGUUUACAACUCCCAAACCCAUGUGAACAUACCUACUGUUGCUUUCGGCGGGAUUGCCCCGGGCGCCUCGUGUGCCCCGGAUCAGGCGCCCCCGCCUAGGAAACUUAACUCUUGUUUUAUUUUGGAAUCUUCUGAGUAGUUUUUACAAAUAAAUAA